rnacentral:rRNA from 1 species
GACGAACGCUGGCGGCGUGCUUAACACAUGCAAGUCGAACGGUAAGGCCCUUCGGGGUACACGAGUGGCGAACGGGUGAGUAACACGUGGGUGAUCUGCCCUGCACUUCGGGAUAAGCCUGGGAAACUGGGUCUAAUACCGGAGAGGACCACUGCAUGCAUGGGUGGUGGUGGAAAGCUUUUGCGGUGUGGGAUGGGCCCGCGGCGUAUCAGCUUGUUGGUGGGGUGAUGGCCUACCAAGGCGACGACGGGUAGCCGGCCUGAGAGGGUGACCGGCCACACUGGGACUGAGAUACGGCCCAGACUCCUACGGGAGGCAGCAGUGGGGAAUAUUGCACAAUGGGCGCAAGCCUGAUGCAGCGACGCCGCGUGAGGGAUGACGGCCUUCGGGUUGUAAACCUCUUUCAGCACCGACGAAGCGCAAGUGACGGUAGGUGCAGAAGAAGGACCGGCCAACUACGUGCCAGCCGCCGCCGUAA